GACGAACGCUGGCGGCGUGCUUAACACAUGCAAGUCGAACGGAAGGGCCCUGCUUUUGUGGGGUGCUCGAGUGGCGAACGGGUGAGUAACACGUGAGUAACCUGCCCUUGACUUUGGGAUAACUUCAGGAAACUGGGGCUAAUACCGGAUAGGAGCUCCUGCUGCAUGGUGGGGGUUGGAAAGUUUCGGCGGUUGGGGAUGGACUCGCGGCUUAUCAGCUUGUUGGUGGGGUAGUGGCUUACCAAGGCUUUGACGGGUAGCCGGCCUGAGAGGGUGACCGGCCACAUUGGGACUGAGAUACGGCCCAGACUCCUACGGGAGGCAGCAGUGGAGAAUAUUGCACAAUGGGCGGAAGCCUGAUGCAGCAACGCCGCGUGCGGGAUGACGGCCUUCGGGUUGUAAACCGCUUUCGCCUGUGACGAAGCGUGAGUGACGGUAAUGGGUAAAGAAGCACCGGCUAACUACGUG
rnacentral:rRNA from 1 species